rnacentral:rRNA from 1 species
UAGAUACCCUGGUAGUCCGCACAGUAAACGAUGGAUGCCCGCUGUUGGUACCUGGUAUCAGCGGCUAAGCGAAAGCAUUAAGCAUCCCACCUGGGGAGUACGCCGGCAACGGUGAAACUCAAAGGAAUUGACGGGGGCCCGCACAAGCGGAGGAACAUGUGGUUUAAUUCGAUGAUACGCGAGGAACCUUACCCGGGCUUGAAUUGCAGAGGAAGGAUUUAGAGAUAAUGACGCCUUCGGGGUCUCUGUG